AAAAUACCGAACUUGUCCUUUAAAGCAUCUUUAAACUUUAAAAACAUGUUGUUUGUCGUGACUCUACAUUGUAAUACUCACCCGGUUACAGUAAUUUGUGUAAUGUUGGACAUACGAUGAAACAACACGACAUUGAUACAGCAAUUUGACCUCACACUCAUUUUUAUCAGCAGAUUAGUGUGCUUUGAGUACACCACAGUUCUGUAAGUGAAAAAUUAAUUCAUAUUUAUGUGUGUUUCUUUCUCAGUAAGGAAUAACUUUAACUGACUUUCUGUCUGUCUGUCUGUUCUCAACCAAACUGUCAUUCAAGACCUUUUAAAGCAAAAACAUUUCCCGUGCAAGUUUGAAUCUCUCUCAGUAAGGACUUAUUGACUGGCUGUCUGUUCUCGACCAAACGGUCAUUCUUACUCAUAAAAAACUUUUAAAGCACAAGUGUGUCCCGCGCAAGUUUGAAUUUCUCUCAGUAAGGACUGACGGAUGGCCAUUCACUCAUAAAACCUUUUAAAGGUUAGCACGAAUGCAUCCAGCAUAAUUUUGGAUCUUUACCAUUGAGGAGACUGGCUGACUGUUCUCAACAAACCAUCAUUCACACGCAAAAACUUUAAAGGUAAGUAUGAACGUGUCUAGAGCAGUUUUGGAUCUUUACCAUUGAGGAGGUUGAAUGACUUUCAUCUACCAACUGUCAUUAACACAACAAAAACUAAAGAACUGUUACUACAAGUGGACCGAUUCAGUUA